rnacentral:ncRNA from 3 species
UAUGGUUCUAUCUUCAGAAAACAAUAUGGUGUUUAGAGCCUAGUUCCUACAGUUCCUGUUCUUAGAAGACAAAAUAGACUCUAAGAUACGUAGGUAACCUUUCCAGAGAUGUGACAGAAGUCCUUAUACUUCAGUUGUUCAGUCAGAUUGGACCCUGUAAAAGCUGUAAAAUGAUAACAGAGCAACCCGAUAGCAGAAGGGUCAACUCUUCUGUUGGAUUUUCUGUUUUGCAGCAUACAAGCAAUGACCCAUAUUGCUUU